GAUGAAGAACGUAGCGAAAUGCGAUAAGUAAUGUGAAUUGCAGAAUUCAGUGAAUCAUCGAAUCUUUGAACGCACAUUGCGCCCGCCAGUAUUCUGGCGGGCAUGCCUGUUCGAGCGUCAUUUCAACCAUCAAGCCCCAGGCUUGUGUUGGGGACCUGCGGCUGCCGCAGGCCCUGAAAACCAGUGGCGGGCUCGCUGUCACACCGGGCGUAGUAGAUUUUAUCUCGCUCAGGGCGUGCUGCGGGUUCCGGCCGUUAAAAAGCCUUUUUUACCCAAGGUUGACCUCGGAUCAGGUAGGAAGACUCGCUGAACUUAAGCAUAUCAAUAAGCGGAGGA
rnacentral:misc_RNA from 1 species